rnacentral:rRNA from 1 species
AGUGAACGCUGGCGGUAGGCCUAACACAUGCAAGUCGAACGGCAGCACAGUAAGAGCUUGCUCUUACGGGUGGCGAGUGGCGGACGGGUGAGGAAUACAUCGGAAUCUACUUUUUCGUGGGGGAUAACGUAGGGAAACUUACGCUAAUACCGCAUGCGACCUACGGGUGAAAGCAGGGGAUCUUCGGACCUUGCGCGAUUGAAUGAGCCGAUGUCGGAUUAGCUAGUUGGCGGGGUAAAGGCCCACCAAGGCGACGAUCCGUAGCUGGUCUGAGAGGAUGAUCAGCCACACUGGAACUGAGACACGGUCCAGACUCCUACGGGAGGCAGCAGUGGGGAAUAUUGGACAAUGGGCGCAAGCCUGAUCCGGCCAUACCGCGUGGGUGAAGAAGGCCUUCGGGUUGUAAAGCCCUUUUGUUGGGAAAGAAAAGCAGCAGGUUAAUACCCCGCUGUUCUGACGGUACCCAAAGAAUAAGCACCGGCUAACUUCGUG